UUUAGUUCCAAACAUUCUUUAGCUCAUAAACGUACAAUAAAAUAUGCUUUUAUUUCGUCAAAAAAUUAUUUUGCGGCCGUAUUUUACGCAGCAGUCACUCAAAUACGCACCCGAGGGUGCAAUAAACGUAAAAAAAUGCACAAAAUGACCAAAAAAAUAACCUAUUACCCUCAUUUUGUCAAAAUCUUCAUUAGCCUUGUACCAACAAUCACAGAGAAACUGUGACUUUUGUGUGAAAUAUGUCAACUGUGGUGGCUGCGUCCAAUGUAUUUGUUUUUUUUUUUGUUUUGUUUUUUUUGUUUGUUUGGGGUUUUUUUGUCCUGUCCAGCUUCUCAGGCAAAUCAUAUAGUUGAUGUAGAUGCCCAUAUCGGCUGUUCAGAUUUACUUUACAAAAGAGAAGUGUAGGAUACUUCUCUUGUUGCCUUAUUUGUAUUUGACUUUAUUAAAUGUAUUUAUAUUAUCAUUUGGUGCAGCCGGGCCGGAGCAGGAGGGGAUAGAAAGAGAAAAAAAGGAAGACAGAGGGGGAAAUUGUGGGGACAAGAGAGGGAUUAGACAGAGAGACAAAAACAACAACAGCAAACACAACAACAACAACAGCAACAACAAUAGAGCAACAUCAGCAAAUACGACAUGUACAAAUAUGAUGGAAAAAGUAAUAGCAAAUAAGCAGUUAGCGAAAAUAAAAAAAUAAUACAGAAAUGACAAUGAGCAUUAUUACACUACAAAUGGAGCAAUACAAAUACCAAUAGAAAUAGCGCUAUUGAUAAUGAACAAUACCAAUACUUUACCUUUAUUAUCAACAAUACAGUUGUUCAAAUGCAACAAUACAUAUACGUAGUGAUAACUUGAGAUACGAAAGAAUGCAGAAAAAUGGAGGCGAAGAAAGAGAAGCAACCUACCUUAACCUUGUAGAUUGUUAUAGUAACAAUAGAUUAAGCUUUGUCAGUGUGCCAUGUGUCAUACCCAGUUUACUCUAGGGCAACAACAGUAAUAUAUGUUUGAUGAAACGUGAUUAUGUGCAUGAGUGUAUGUAUGCAUAUGUACUUGUAUAUGUACAGAAUGUGUAUAUGUGUUUAUACAGUGAAUGUAUAUGUACAGAAUGUGUAUAUGUGUUUAUACAGUGAAUGUAUAUGUACAGUAUGUGUAUAUGUGUGUUUGUACAGUGAGUGUAUAUGUACAGUAUGGGUAUAUGUAUGUUUGUACAGUGAAUGUAUAUACACAGUAUGUGUAUGUUUGUAUAAUGAAUGUGCGUGUGGAUGUACGAAUUUUGAGUAUGUAAAUAUGUACUGUAUUUGUAUAUGUAUGUGGGAGCGUAGGUACCUAUGUAUGUGUGUUUGUAUGUAUGUGAGUAUAUGUGAAUUUGUAUGUACAAUACAUUUGACUCCCAGUGUGUGUGGGAGCCAGAGCACGGCCCCAGCCUCCCCAAUGUAUUUGUACUCACUGUAUGCAGGGUUUUUCCUGCGUUCAAAAUUGCGUGGCGCCCGCCUCCAUCUAAUUUUGUGCCGCCCCCAGUCAGAGCGAUUGAUAUUGCUAAACACAGCUGUGUUGAUUGAGCGAUUGUUGUCCCUCUGCGGCAGCUAUGUAUUUUAACUGCAGUUGCAGCGUUGCACCACUAUAGAGGCGCUAUAUCGACAGCAGUGCACCGGAAAGACCUGAAGCAAUUACCGAAGAAGAAACAGAUCGAAGCGCUCUUGGUGCAUAACGUUGACCACAAGUGGAUUUCUGCCAUACGGAGCAUGAUACGGAGGGAUCACUGGACUCCUACAGAACACUCCAGACUGUGCUGUGAACAUUUUGUCUCUGCGUUGCAGAUAUGGCAGGCAAAAUCAGCCACUACUUUAAAAAGUGAUCUCGCAAGUAGGAAAGUCAAGAGUCCAGGUGAAACAGAGCAGAGAAAUUAAGAGCGCUUGAAGGCUGCUUCAAAAUCAUCUAUGAGUGUCUCAAGCAAAAAUGGCCCCACCACACAAGCUAAGAGCCCAUCAAUCUCUUAUGCAAGUGCUUAGGGCCAUCUGGAGCACAGGUGUCACACUCAAGGCCCCUAGGCCAGAUCUGGCCCGUAACAUCAUUUUAUCUGGCCCGCAAACACCUGGA